rnacentral:lncRNA from 1 species
GAACACUGCGGCUCUCGCCCAGCUGGAGCUCUGGCUGCCGUGCCCAAGUGAGCCCCGAGGGUUUCUUUGUGAGCUGAGCCCGAGCACGACGCCUGCUGCACGCCACGCUGUGAGGAGCAAGCGCUCUGCCGUCCCACACUAGCUGGACGUUUUCAGUAGACAUCCAAAUGUGGAAAACCAUCUUCUAACCAAAGCAGUAUGUCCGUGCCGGCAGUGGCCACCCCCAGCCCCAGUUUGCCCCAGCAGCACCGGUGCUUGCCCAGCACCAGGACCGCAGCCUGCUCCCAGAAGGGCAGAGCGAGACAAGGAUGGGUCACACCGGAUGGGCUGGGGAAGAGAAAAGGAGAAAGACGACUUCCAUCAUCGUCCUGUCUGACUGGGAACCAUCGUGGAGACAUCAGUGGUGCCAAGCGACAGUCGGUCCCUGAGUUUACAGCACGCAGAGGCAAUGAAGUUCUACACAGUGCCCAGCAUCUCCUACUAAAAUUGUGUCACCCUGAUGAUCACAGGAGUCCGGUGCACGUCUCGCUCGUCUGCGUGUCAGAAGGCAGACUGCUCACCGGCAGAGGGUGGAUGUCGGAAUUUCCCUGUGAGGCCAUUAAACAAGGCUGCUGA